rnacentral:rRNA from 1 species
CCAGCCUACGGGAGGCAGCAGUGGGGAAUAUUGCACAAUGGGGGAAACCCUGAUGCAGCGACGCCGCGUGAAGGAAGAAGUAUUUCGGUAUGUAAACUUCUAUCAGCAGGGAAGAAAAUGACGGUACCUGACUAAGAAGCCCCGGCUAACUACGUGCCAGCAGCCGCGGUAAUACGUAGGGGGCAAGCGUUAUCCGGAUUUACUGGGUGUAAAGGAAGCGUAGGCGGUUUAGCAAGUCAGAAGGGAAAGCCCGGGGCUCGACUCCAGGACUGCUUUUGAAACUGUUGAACUAGAUUGAAGGAGAG